rnacentral:rRNA from 1 species
CCUACGGGAGGCUGCAGUAGGGAAUCUUCCACAAUGGGCGCAAGCCUGAUGGAGCAACACCGCGUGAGUGAAGAAUGGUUUCGGCUCGUAAAGCUCUGUUGUUGGAGAAGAACGUGCGUGAGAGUAACUGUUCACGCAGUGACGGUAUCCAACCAGAAAGUCACGGCUAACUACGUGCCAGCAGCCGCGGUAAUACGUAGGUGGCAAGCGUUAUCCGGAUUUAUUGGGCGUAAAGCUAGCGCAGGCGGUUGCUUAGGUCUGAUGUGAAAGCCUUCGGCUUAACCGAAGAAGUGCAUCGGAAACCGGGCAACUUGAGUGCAGAAGAGGACAGUGGAACUCCAUGUGUAGCGGUGGAAUGCGUAGAUAUAUGGAAGAACACCAGUGGCGAAGGCGGCUGUCUGGUCUGCAACUGACGCUGAGGCUCGAAAGCAUGGGUAGCGAACAGGAUUAGAUACCCUUGUAGUC